rnacentral:pre_miRNA from 1 species
CACCCAUUUGUGGAUGGCACCUCAUCAUGAGAUUGAUGCUCCAGAUGUUGUUGCGCCGGUACGAGCUAGUCGUAAUGCAGACACUACGGUAUCUCUUUUUCUAGCACACAAUUAUCAAGUUCUUUUUAUAAGAGAUACCGCAGCGUCGACAUUGAGACUAGCUCAUACCGACGCAACAACAUCUGGAGCAUCAAUCUCACGAUGUGGCGCUAUCCACAAAUGGGUG